rnacentral:lncRNA from 1 species
UCCUCCCCUUAUUGCUGCACCACCCAUUUCCUCUCCAUUUUCAUUUUUUUCCUCUUUUGAUUAGCUUUCAACCUCCCUUUUUGCUUUCUUUUUCUUUUUCUUCCACUGUUCCUAGCUUUACACCACCAUCACCUCACCACUGAACUAACACCUUGCCACCUCUCCCCUCUCAUUUUUCUCCAAACGCCACCCUUAGCGCCGCCCUCCUCCACUGUGGCAACCACCGCACAACUUCUUUCUUUUUCUUAUUUUCUUUUCUUUUCUCAUUUCUCCUCUUUUUAGA